rnacentral:rRNA from 1 species
GAUGAACGCUGGCGGCGUGCCUAAUACAUGCAAGUCGAGCGAACAGACGAGGAGCUUGCUCCUUCGACGUUAGCGGCGGACGGGUGAGUAACACGUAGGUAACCUACCUAUAAGACUGGGAUAACUUCGGGAAACCGGAGCUAAUACCGGAGAAUAUUUCGAACCGCAUGGUUCGAUAGUGAAAGAUGGCUUUGCUAUCACUUAUAGAUGGACCUGCGCCGUAUUAGCUGGUUGGUAAGGUAACGGCUUACCAAGGCAACGAUACGUAGCCGACCGGAGAGGGUGAUCGGCCACACUGGAAGUGAGACACGGUCCAGACGCCUACGGGAGGCAGCAGUAGGGAAUCUUCCGCAAUGGGCGAAAGCCUGACGGAGCAACGCCGCGUGAGUGAUGAAGGUCUUCGGAUCGUAAAACUCUGUUAUUAGGGAAGAACAACCGUGUAAGUAACUGUGCACGUCUUGACGGUACCUAAUCAGAAAGCCCCGGCUAACUACGUG